rnacentral:rRNA from 1 species
AGGACGAACGCUGGCGGCGUGCUUAACACAUGCAAGUCGAGCGGAAAGGCCCUUCGGGGUACUCGAGCGGCGAACGGGUGAGUAACACGUGAGCAAUCUGCCCUUAGCUUCGGGAUAGCUCCGGGAAACCGGAAUUAAUACCGAAUAUUACUUUGGCUGACAUCAGCUACGGUGGAAAGUUUUUCGGCUAGGGAUGAGCUCGCGGCCUAUCAGCUUGUUGGUGGGGUAAUGGCCUACCAAGGCGACGACGGGGUA